rnacentral:tRNA from 2 species
UCCCCUGUAGCUCAAUUGGCAGAGCGUUCGACUGUUAAUCGAAAUGUUGGUGGUUCGAGUCCACCCGGGGGAGCCA